GACGAACGCUGGCGGCGUGCUUAACACAUGCAAGUCGAACGGUGAAGCGCCUUCCUUUUUGGUGGGUGUGGAUGAGUGGCGAACGGGUGAGUAACACGUGAGUAACCUGCCCCCUUCUUCUGGAUAACCGCAUGAAAGUGUGGCUAAUACGGGAUAUUCUGGGUCUGUCGCAUGAUGGGUCUGGGAAAGAUAUUGUUUCGGUGGGGGAUGGGCUCGCGGCCUAUCAGCUUGUUGGUGGGGUGAUGGCCUACCAAGGCGGUGACGGGUAGCCGGCCUGAGAGGGUGGCCGGUCACACGGGGACUGAGACACGGCCCAGACUCCUACGGGAGGCAGCAGUGGGGAAUAUUGCACAAUGGGCGCAAGCCUGAUGCAGCGACGCCGCGUGAGGGAUGGAGGCCUUCGGGUUGUGAACCUCUUUCGCCAGUGAAGCAGGCCUGCCUCGUUUGUGGGUGGGUUGACGGUAGCUGGAUAAGAAGCGCCGGCUAACUACGUG
rnacentral:rRNA from 1 species